GCUGGAUUCAACCGAUUCAACUCGAUGCCCCGCUUCUCCAAAGUCCCCGCGACGCUACCAGAAUGCAUUGCACGGCUGCUCCCAUUGAAAUGAGUGCUGACGGACACAUGUUCGUGCUGCACAUCGUUUGACAUCCUUCAUCUUCAUACAAGUGAUUUAGAACAAGUUCUGUCCCGGUGUCUGUGCUCUGAGAUGUGCAUGUACCUCAUGCAAUACAUGAUCGAUAGGGAGUUCCAUCGCAUAUCAACUUUACCUCUACUUUCUACAUUCUGUGCUGCUCUCGACGAGUACACUACGCGCCUGAUGGAGAUAUUUCAAUGCAAAGGUGGAGCAGCUGGAAGAAAAAUA